AUUAUUGCAACCUAAUUACUUAUGUAGUAGUGAUAAAACGCUCUUAGAGCUAUGGACAUAAACGCGCUCACAAUAAACGGAUCGGACCGGGGGGCGGUACCCCGCGACUCCACCAUAUCUCGGUCAUUUGCCANGCUUGGGGUCGAAAUAGGAUCGACGGACGUCUAAAAGNGUUAGCUUUGUUUCGGCGAGACACCACCGUAUCGGUUCAAAAUGUACAAUUGCAAAUGACAAUCGUGCUCCAAUGGCGAUGGCCGCGUAAGCGACUGGAACUAUUGAAAACUUAAGCCCUGUUGCCUAGCAGCGGCAGGCGGGGUUCGUAGGCACCUGGCAACAGAAGCCUACACU
rnacentral:tmRNA from 1 species